UCCGAGAUAGUAUAGUGGCAAGUAUUUCCGCCUGUCACGCGGAAGACCCGGGUUCAAUUCCCGGUCUCGGAGG